rnacentral:rRNA from 1 species
AACGUAGGAGACAAACGUUAUCCGGAGUUACUGGGCGUAAAGGGCGUGUAGGUGGUUUUGUAAGUCUGGCGUGAAAUUUUUCGGCUUAACCGGGAAAGGUCGUCGGAUACUGCAGGACUAGAGGACGGUAGAGGCGUGUGGAAUUCCGGGUGUAGUGGUGAAAUGCGUAGAGAUCCGGAGGAACACCAGUGGCGAAGGCGACACGCUGGGCCGUACCUGACGCUGAUGCGCGACAGCAUGGGGAGCAAACAGG